ensembl:snoRNA
UGUGGCAGUGAUGAGUUGCACUUUUAGUCAGGUUGCUGAUUGCAGUGGCACAGCAAACCUGUCCUUGACAACCUGUGAUGACACCCAUUGUGCACAGGGGCCAUCUGAGUCACU